rnacentral:rRNA from 1 species
AUUGAACGCUGGCGGAAUGCUUUACACAUGCAAGUCGAACGGCAGCACGGACUUCGGUCUGGUGGCGAGUGGCGAACGGGUGAGUAAUAUAUCGGAACGUGCCCAGUCGUGGGGGAUAACGUAGUGAAAAUUACGCUAAUACCACAUACGAUCUAUGGAUGAAAGCGGGGGACCUUUGGGCCUCGCGCGAUUGGAGCGGCCGAUAUCAGAUUAGGUAGUUGGUGGGGUAAAGGCUCACCAAGCCAACGAUCUGUAGCAGGUCUGAGAGGACGACCAGCCACACUGGGACUGAGACACGGCCCAGACUCCUACGGGAGGCAGCAGUGGGGAAUUUUGGACAAUGGACGCAAGUCUGAUCCAGCCAUUCCGCGUGCAGGACGAAGGCCUUCGGGUUGUAAACUGCUUUUGUACAGAACGAAAAGGUUUCUACUAAUACUAGGAGCUCAUGACGGUACUGUAAGAAUAAGCACCGGCUAACUACGUGCCAGCAGCCGCGGUAA